AGAAUAUAAGGAUCAAAAAAAUAACGUUUGUUACGUAACAUUUUAGAGGCGCUUGUUAAAUUGUCCAAACAAUUCCGGAAAAAGUUAAUACUUUCCGAGAUGAGUGUCUUAUCGGAGGGUUGUAAGUUCGUAACAUAUCUAUGUCUAUAUAUAUAUAUAGUUUUCUUUAGUAUAUUUAUAAUUCGUAAGUAAUAAAUUAUG